rnacentral:rRNA from 1 species
ACGGAGGGGGCGAGCGUUGUCCGAAGUUACUGGGCAUAAAGCGCGCGUAGGCGGGUUGCUAAGUCCGCUGUGAAAGCCCGAGGCUUAACCUCGGAGGGUCGGUGGAUACUGGCAGCCUUGAAGGUGGUAGGGGGAGAUGGAAUUACCGGUGUAGCGGUGAAAUGCGUAGAGAUCGGUAGGAACACCGGUGGCGAAGGCGGUCUCCUGGCCCACUCUUGACGCUGAGGCGCGAAGGCGUGGGGAGCGAACGGGA